GGCAUUUGUGGCUUAGUGGUAGAGUGCUUACCUUGCAUGCUCGAGGCCCUGGGUUUGACCCCCAGCACCA
rnacentral:tRNA from 1 species